rnacentral:rRNA from 1 species
CUGCGGAAGGAUCAUUGUGGAAUUUUAUUUGAACCGUUGUGAAGUUGUAUAAAUACCUUUCGAAACCUUGGUUUUUGUUUCGCCGCUGUUUCGAUGGGUUCCAUUUGCUACCUUCAUCUCGCCAAAUUGGAAGUGAGAAGUCGAGUAGAAAUUAAAGAACGGUGCGGUUUGCACCAAGGACAAUUGUUGGAGUGUGUUGCCAUCAUUUUGAUGUGUUUAUUACUCUAUAGGUAUAUGAUUUCGAAUGACUCCUGGCAAUGGAUAUCUUGGCUCUCGUAUCGAAGAAGAACGUAGCAAAAUGCGACACUUGGUGUGAAUUGCAGAAUCCCGUGAACCAUCGAGUCUUUGAAUGCAAGUUGCGCUCGAGGCCAUUAGGUCGAGGGCAUGUCUGUCUGGGUGUCAUGUUAUGCAUCAUUCUUUCCCUCCAUCAAGUAUGAACCUACCGUGGGUAACAAUGGAUGUGGAGAUUGACCCUCUGUGCUUUAGUUGUGCGGUUGGUUUAAGUGAAUGUUGUUGCUAGGUUUUUGCACAGCAAUUGGUGGAUCGAGUUAGCACACGAUGUCAUUAACUGUGUCCACGAGUCCAUGGCAAGAUGUAACAUUAUUUGAAAUCAUUUUUGGAGUUUGCGUUGGUCGUAAGCUCGGACCUUGAUCUCAGAUCAGACGGGGCCACCCGCUGAGUUUAAGCAUA